GACGAACGCUGGCGGCAUGCCUAACACAUGCAAGUCUAGGGGUAGCAAUACCACUGGCGCACGGGUGAGUAACACGUAGGUUAUCUGCCCCCAUCACAGACAUAACCCCGGGAAACCGGGGCUAAUAUCUGAUGAGGUCGCGAGAUCAAAGCUUCGGCGGAUGGGGAUGAGCCUGCGGCUGAUUAGCUAGUUGGUGAGGUAAUGGCUCACCAAGGCGACGAUCAGUAGCUGGUCUGAGAGGACGAACAGCCACACUGGAACUGAGACACGGUCCAGACUCCUACGGGAGGCAGCAGUGAGGAAUAUUGGUCAAUGGGAGCAAUCCUGAACCAGCAAUGCCGCGUGUGGGAUGACAGGGCUUCGCCUUGUAAACCACUGUCGGACGGGACGAAAGGAGGCCUCGGGCCUCUGGGACGGUACCGUCAAAGGAAGGGUCGGCUAACUACGUGCCAGCAGCCGCGGUAA
rnacentral:rRNA from 1 species